UACGGGAGGCAGCAGUAGGGAAUAUUGGGCAAUGGACGCAAGUCUGACCCAGCCAUGCCGCGUGCAGGAUGAAGGCGUUAUGCGUUGUAAACUGCUUUUAUACAGGAAGAAACGACUCUUGCGAGAGGCAUUGACGGUACUGUAUGAAUAAGCACCGGCUAACUCCGUGCCAGCAGCCGCGGUAAUA
rnacentral:rRNA from 1 species